UACGAAGGGGGGCUAGCGUUGCUCGGAAUUACUGGGCGUAAAGCGCACGUAGGCGGCUCUUUAAGUCGGAGGUGAAAUCCUGGAGCUCAACUCCAGAACUGCCUUCGAUACUGGAGAGCUUGAGUCCGGGAGAGGUGAGUGGAACUGCGAGUGUAGAGGUGAAAUUCGUAGAUAUUCGCAAGAACACCAGUGGCGAAGGCGGCUCACUGGCCCGGUACUGACGCUGAGGUGCGAAAGCGUGGGGAGCAAACAGG
rnacentral:rRNA from 1 species